GAUGAACGCUGGCGGUAUGCUUAACACAUGCAAGUCGAACGGACUCUUCGGAGUUAGUGGCGGACGGGUGAUUAACGCCUGAGAAUCUGGCUUUGGGUUCGGGGCAACCACUGGAAACGGUGGCUAAUACCGGAUGUGCCGAGAGGUGAAAGAGAAAUUGCCUGAAGAUGAGCUCGCGUCUGAUUAGCUAGUUGGUGAGGUAAAGGCUCACCAAGGCAGCGAUCAGUAGCGGGUCUGAGAGGAUGACCAGCCACGCUGGGACUGAGACACGGCCCAGACUCCUACGGGAGGCAGCAGGGGGGAAUUGUCCGCAAUGGGCGAAAGCCUGACGGAGCAGUACCGCGUGAGGGAAGAAGGCUCUUGGGUUGUAAACCUCUUUUCUUAGGGAAGAACAAAAUGACGGUACCUAAGGAAUCAGCAUCGGCUAACUCCGUG
rnacentral:rRNA from 1 species